CCUCCCCAGCCAGAGGCCCCAAAGCAACACCUUAUCAUCAAUCACCCUUCACUCCCUCAGGGAGCCCACAAAGGAGGACACACAGGGUUCUCAGAGCUACAGAUUCGGGGAGAGAGUGUCAAUAUGGCCUGCAGCCUUUCCAAGAGGCUAACCACUCCACAGGGGAAGGGCGGCCCUCCAGUGUGCAGUUCUAAAGAGAGGCUGUCUGUGAUGCUGUAGUGAAUGGCUUCUCUGUGAGCACACUUCAGGAGGAUAAUUUAUGCUCACUGUUUCCCAGGCCUGCAGACGCCACUGGUGCAUCACACACCAGCUAGCAGUCAGCCUCGGGUGGGGUGCCUUCGGCUUUCUCGUGGCCUCACCUGUUCCUAGGUGCAGUCACUGCUCAGUGAGUCCCUUCGUGUCAGUUUACACUCACACUGCCUCCUCUCAGAGAGGCCAAAGAAAGAACCCCACGAUCUAAGUAAAGGCAUUGAACCCAACUUCGUCCUGCCUGCAAUAUUCACACACAAGAUGACAGUAAGUGAUGGGGAGAAACUCUGUAAAUCCGUAUUUCAAAUCAGACUCACGGGCCAUGAUAUAAGUCGGGGCCACUUCCAGCUCCUGCGUUCAUCCUCAGACCGUGGAGAGAACUGGGCACACGGGCAGGUGUUCACAGGGCUUGCUGGACAACGGCCAAGGGGGGCAAGGACCCACGGCAAACUGUAUGUAAAAGGGAAAUGCGCACUGUUUUAAUAAGCUACCCCAAGAAGAGGAGCAGGGCUUCUUACCACAUGCUAUCCCAGCUUGUCCCGACAGAUGACUCCGGAUGACUACAGACAGACCCACCCUGUUUCACAGCCACAGGAAAGGGAGCGGAAGAAAGCUCUGCUGAGCCCCACCGUGACCUUACCCUUGAGUCCAGCUAGCAGAUACUGCAACUGGCCGGGCCCAAGUCACACACCUUCUAAGUGGCAGGAA